rnacentral:rRNA from 1 species
GACAGAGGGUGCGAGCGUUGUUCGGAAUUACUGGGCGUAAAGGGCGCGUAGGCGGUCUGUUAAGUUCGGUGUGAAAGCCCUCGGCUCAACUGGGGAAGUGCGCCGGAUACUGACAGACUUGAGUACCGGAGAGGAGGGUGGAAUUCCUGGUGUAGCGGUGAAAUGCGUAGAUAUCAGGAGGAACACCGGUGGCGAAGGCGGCCCUCUGGACGAGUACUGACGCUGAGGCGCGAAAGCGUGGGGAUCAAACAGGAUUAGAAACCCCAGUAGUCC